rnacentral:rRNA from 1 species
AGCGGAGGAAAAGAAACCAACAGGGAUUACCUCAGUAACGGCGAGUGAAGCGGUAACAGCUCAAAUUUGAAAGCUAGCUCUUUUAGGGUUCGCAUUGUAAUUUGUAGAAGAUGCUUCGGGUGUGGCCCCGGUCUAAGUUCCUUGGAACAGGACGUCAUAGAGGGUGAGAAUCCCGUAUGUGACUGGGUGCCUUCGCUCAUGUGAAGCUCUUUCGACGAGUCGAGUUGUUUGGGAAUGCAGCUCAAAAUGGGUGGUAAAUUUCAUCUAAAGCUAAAUAUUGGCCAGAGACCGAUAGCGCACAAGUAGAGUGAUCGAAAGAUGAAAAGCACUUUGGAAAGAGAGUUAAACAGUACGUGAAAUUGUUGAAAGGGAAGCGCUUGCAACCAGACUUGCGCGCUGAUGAUCAUCCGGGCUUCUGCCCGGUGCACUCGUCUGCGCUCAGGCCAGCAUCGGUUUCGGUGGUGGGAUAAAGGCCUUGGGAAUGUAGCUCCUCUCGGGGAGUGUUAUAGCCCUCGGUGCAAUGCCGCCUACCGGGACCGAGGACCGCGCUUCGGCUAGGAUGCUGGCGUAAUGGUUGUAAGCGACCCGUCUUGAAACACGGACCAAGGAGUCUAACAUCUAUGCGAGUGUUUGGGUGUCAAACCCAUACGCGUAAUGAAAGUGAACGGAGGUGAGAACCCUUAAGGGUGCAUCAUCGACCGGUCCUGAUGUCUUCGGAUGGAUCUGAGUAAGAGCAUAGCUGUUGGGACCCGAAAGAUGGUGAACUAUGCGUGAAUAGGGUGAAGCCAGAGGAAACUCUGGUGGAGGCUCGCAGCGGUUCUGACGUGCAAAUCGAUCGUCAAAUUUGCGUAUAGGGGCGAAAGACUAAUCGAACCAUCUAGUAG